AACCGUAACAGAGUCCCCAGAACUCCCCGUCAGCAGAAGGGGAGGAACAGAUGGCUGGGGAUGAGCGGAGGAGAGGGAAGAAUCCUUCUAGAAACACUCCUAAGCUGUACUUGGUGAUCAAAGGAGGAACCGCAGUAGCGGUGGAUUUUCUACUGCUGAGCCAAGGGGGAAGUCAUAUAAAAGUUUAGAAUAAUAGAAAUGGUUGCACCCACUGAGUCACCUGGGCCUCAGGGAUGCAGCAUUCAGGUUUUCAAAGUCGAAUUUCGGAAGCUGAUUUCUCUCCUGGGAGUCUGCCAGGCAUGCUGAAGCAUCUCCUUCUGCUGCUGUGAUGCGCCUCCAUGGAGCCAUCCCGGGCUCGCACAGACGGUCUGCUCACGAUUGUGACCAAGUGACAGAGCAGUCUUUCAAGCAGAAGAAUGUUCAGCCACCAGUCCUGGCCACGUGCUCUUAGGGCCAUCCGGGUCUCUGCGCACUGACUCUCUGACGGUGACAGUUUUUACGUCUGUCCCCCACAUGCCAGACACAGGCACGCACCCGAGAGGAGCCUUAUGGAAAAGUGACCCCAGUAGGUCUCCUUCCGGCAUUCAGUCAUCACAGCCCCUGGCUGUGUGUCGGUUCUCAGUGCUGUUGUAGCGGCUAAGUCCUAUCUGACUCUUUGUGACCCCAUGGACUGCAGCCCUCCAAGCUCCUCUGUCCAUGGGAUUUCCCAGGUCCACACAGGAAGUCGAGAACCACACUUGCUCAAGCGUCUUCCCUUCCCGCCCCUUUCUCCCCUGUCCACAUUAACACGGAGUACCUUCAGACACGAUCGAUUGCUCCAGGACCUGGACACACUGCAUCCCCGUCAGCAUCCUAUCUGUAACUAGGGAAGUACGGACCCCCGCUGGAGUCUUGUUUCCAUUC